rnacentral:rRNA from 1 species
CAGCCGCCGCGGGAAUACGAGGGGGGCAAGCAUUGUUCGGAAUUAUUGGGCGUAAAGGGUGCGUAGGCGGCUUGACAAGUCUUGUGUGAAAUCUAUGGGCUCAACCCAUAGUCUGCACGGGAAACUGUCGGGCUUGAGAAUGGGAGAGGUGAGUGGAAUUUCCGGUGUAGCGGUGAAAUGCGUAGAUAUCGGAAGGAACACCUGUGGCGAAAGCGGCUCACUGGACCAUUUCUGACGCUGAUGUACGAAAGCUAGGGGAGCAAACAGGAUUAGAUACCCCUGUAGUCCCUGUCUCUUAUAC